AGCUGUUUCAUUUUGAGCACCGCUUCUCCCCGCCAUGUCACUGCUACCGCUUAUCACUGCAUUCACCAUAGCAUAUAUUCUCCUCUCUCUUUCUCUGCAAAAACCCUAGAAAAGGAGAUCGAUCGAGAGCGAUCGAGGGAGAUCGAGAAAGGACGAUCGGAGCACUGAUGGAGCCGGAUUCGGAGUCGAUCGCCGUGCCGAACGGAUCGAUCGAGGAGGACCGGCGAUCGCCGCCCCCGCCGCCGAUGCCGACGAAUCCGAUGGUGACGCCCCUCCUCGCCGAUCUCUACCAGUUCACCAUGGCCUACGCCUAUUGGAAAGCGGGGAAGCAUCUCGACCGAGCUGUCUUUGAUCUGUACUUCCGGAAGAAUCCGUUUGGAGGUGAAUAUACCAUCUUUGGCGGGCUCGAAGAAUGCAUAAGAUUUGUCGCUAAUUUCAAAUUGAAGGAGGAGGAGAUCUCAUUCUUGCGGUCGGCCAUGCCGACGUGUGAGGAUGGAUUCUUUGACUAUCUGAGGUCAAUUGACUGCUCUGAUGUUGAGGUUUAUGCCAUUCCUGAGGGUUCUGUUGUGUUCCCUAAGAUUCCCUUGAUGAGGAUUGAAGGGCCAGUAGCUGUAGUCCAGCUGCUCGAAACUCCUUUCCUAUGUCUUGUCAAUUAUGCCUCUUUAGUUACUACAAACGCUGCAAGACACCGACUUGUUGCUGGAAAGUCAAAGACCUUGCUUGAAUUUGGACUUCGGCGGGCACAGGGGCCUGAUGGAGGAAUAAGCGCCUCAAGAUAUUGCUAUAUGGGCGGAUUUGAUGCCACAAGCAACGUUGAAGCAGGAAGAUUGUUCGGGAUACCACUUCGCGGGACUCAUUCACAUGCUUUUGUCAGCUCUUACAUGAGCCUUGAUGAGAUUAUUGACAAAGCACUUCUAUCUCAUGAUGGUUCAAGCACAUGUGAAGAUUUUGUAACUUUGGUGCAGAAUUGGCUGAACAAAAUUCAGCGGGCAAAAUCACUCCAUGGUGUCUUUGGGGAGACUAAUCAAAGUGAGCUGGCGGCAUUCACAUCAUAUGCUUUGGCUUUUCCAAAAAACUUUCUAGCACUUGUGGAUACAUAUGAUGUUAUCCGGAGUGGGGUGCCCAACUUCUGUGCAGUUGCUUUAUCUCUUAAUGAUUUGGGGUAUAAAGCAAUUGGAAUUAGGCUGGACUCUGGUGAUUUAGCUUACUUGUCAACUGAAGCCCGGAAGUUCUUUCAGUCGAUAGAAGAAGAAUUUGAUGUGUUUGAUUUUGGAAAAAUGAAUAUUACAGCAAGCAACGAUCUAAAUGAGGAAACUAUCGAUGCAUUGAACAAGCAGGGUCAUGAGGUAGAUGCCUUUGGCAUUGGAACGUACCUCGUCACUUGCUAUGCUCAAGCAGCUCUUGGUUGUGUAUUCAAACUUGUGGAAAUCAAUAAUCAGCCACGCAUCAAACUCUCUGAAGAUGUAACAAAGGUUUCUAUACCAUGUAAGAAACGAUGUUACAGGUUGUAUGGAAAAGAGGGCUACCCGUUGGUGGAUAUAAUGACUGGAGAAAAUGAGCCAGCUCCAAAGAUUGGAGAGAGGAUAUUGUGCCGCCAUCCAUUUACCGAGUCAAAAAGGGCAUACGUUGUGCCACAGCACAUCGAGGAACUAUUAAAAUGUUAUUGGCCUGGAAAUUCACAUAAAACAAGGGAAGAACUACCACCAAUAGGGAAAAUCAGAAAGCGCUGUAUGCAGCAUCUCGACCAAAUGCGUCCGGAUCACAUGAGGAGGUUAAACCCAACACCAUACAAGGUUAGCGUGAGCGCGAAGUUAUAUGACUUCAUCCACUUCCUGUGGCUUAGUGAGGCACCGGUUGGUGAACUGCAAUAAACAGGUGAAUGUGACAUGUGGAGAACUUACAUGUGAACAACGCAAUCUAAACGAGAAACUGUGUGUUACAUAGAGAUGUAACACAUUAUUGAAUCACUCGCUAGCUCUACUCGCUUUUGCGGCUCGCAACGAGACAUCAACCUUUAUAUAGCAUAUCUUUCGAAGAGGUUGGGCUUCUGAGUUAUGAGAAUCUGCUUUUCGUAACACAGCCCGAAUCUCUGAUCGACCUCUGCAGCUACAAGACUAUCAUGGAUGGAGAGUGGCCUCUGAUCAAAUUUAGAUCGAGACGGUGAGGUCCUUCAGUUGUACCCACCCAUAGGCGCACUGAUCUCGGAGUUUCUGUAUCACGGAAGUAGCUAAACUGACGGCUUCACGGAUCGCCGCAAAUUCCUUCUCAAAAGGAGCCCUAGCUUUCAGGUCCAACUGCAGUUACACCAUCAGACUGUCAGGUAACAAAUAGAAUAACUGAUUAAGGAAAAAAAAAAUAGAAUAUAUUGGCUGAGAUUAAAAAAUAAAUAAAUAAAUAACCUUCUCGAGGCACCGUGCUGCAUCCAACACAUAACAGAAAUAUGACAACUGCCGGUAUAAAUCCGCCUCGGUGUACUGUUAACGAGUUGCACAGGGAUUCAGUCACCAUGUGAAGCAAAAUCCGAGGAAAAUAUGAAUGGAUCGAGUUUCGACGCUGCAUUCACUAACCUGUUUUACAAGAUGGCCGUUACACCGUGGGUAAUUUGGACAGACCAUUCCUCUUUCAGAAUCGCCGAUUACUCGAAGGUUCAGACUGCGGGUGGUGUAUUUGCAUAGUUCAUCAUCACACUGGUGGACCCAAAAUAGAAAUACAUCACAAACUGUGGUAUUUUCUAGUACACAGCGAUUAAAAUAAGAUUAUAAAUUUCUUAUUUACCGUCAUUAACCCUUUGUAGUACAAAGAGAUGAAGUUAUCAGCCUGUCUUUUGAUCUGCAAAUAGAGCUUUGAUUGUUAGUUUUACAACUUGGCAAAUGCUAGAUCAUAAAUGGAUAAGACUUCGUAAAAUCCCCUAAAAAUACCAUGAUUUUCACAUUACCUUACUGAAAUUUAAAACCUAAGCAGAGUGACAGGAUGAAAAUCUUGUAGUUUAGGUGCAGUAAUGUUUAGGUAUAUUCAAUAUUUUAGAGGGGCGAAGUGAAAGUCACAACAUUACCAAUAAGGGGAUUUUCUGCAAUUUAGCCAUCAUAUAAGCUUAUAAGAGAGGUCUGAAAGUUGUGGCACCUGGUUAGCGAGCAUGACUGGAGAUACUCGAGAUCCGUCGAUAUCAUCUGGACAUCUAGGGCAACGCAUUCUCUGCCAAAAGUUGUGACUAGGCUCUUCAGUUUGUGAAUCCGAUUGGCUUUUAUUACUUGAAGCAGAAAGUAGGCUGGAUACAGGAGGGCAAUUGAAAGUGCUCGAGCAGCUCGGACACGACAAUCGAAGUGGCUCACAGCCUUUAUACCUGCAUGUAUUAUUUGUUCGUGGACGGUAACAAAAAUGUUUAAUAUGAAACUUUGGAAAAAAUUCUCUAUAA